rnacentral:rRNA from 1 species
UACAGAGGUCUCAAGCGUUGUUCGGAUUCAUUGGGCGUAAAGGGUGCGUAGGUGGCGCGCCAAGUCAGGUGUGAAAUUUCGGAGCUUAACUCCGAAACUGCAUUUGAUACUGGCGUGCUUGAGGACUGGAGAGGAGACUGGAAUUCACGGUGUAGCAGUGAAAUGCGUAGAUAUCGUGAGGAAGACCAGUGGCGAAGGCGGGUCUCUGGACAGUUCCUGACACUGAGGCACGAAGGCCAGGGGAGCAAACGGG